ensembl:lncRNA
CUAUAAAUAACUAUAAUGGUUGCACAUUCUGCUUGCAGUGGAGGCCAAUAAAGCGGUCGAAAAGACAGGAGCAAGUGUGGAGAAAAAGGAAGAGGAAAGCAUGGAUGAUGAGGACGUUGUAGAAGAGGAAGAGAGUCAAUUUUUGGAUGAUCCAAAAGAUGAAAACUACCUGCCCCAUUCACAUAGUGAGGAAGAGGACGCCAUCAGCAGUGAUGAAGACGUCCCUUUUAGAGAUGACCUGAAUGACCAGAGCUAUGAUCCCAAGGAUUUUCCUAAGGCAAGGCGCAGACCCCCUACUAGACUGAAGGAGAAGAAAGACAAGGCUGCAUUGCCAGAGACUGCAACAGAGCAAGAGACAGAGAUCAAAACUGAGGGAGGGGAGAGCACAGAUGUGCAGGCCGCUGCUGAAGCUGAGGAAGGUGCCGAGCCACCCAGGAAGUGAGUCAGUGAUGAUGCUUUAUGUUUGUGAUGGAAACACAACUUGACACUCCUGCAACAAAAUGUUACUCAUUAGGUUUACAGUCUCCUUUAAACAC